rnacentral:misc_RNA from 1 species
GGAAUUUCAUGUAGCGAGUCCGACCUAAAGCAUGUGGAAACAAGGGGUGAAAAGCUGAGAGCAGCAAAAUGUUUUUUCACCCGAACCAAAAAAAUUCCAGCUCCUGGUAGAGUAAGAAGUGUUACAGUACGCGGAAAAAGAAAGAUACAGAUGCUACAUGAAGGCAAAGGUCAGUCAGAAGUACGUUACAUGCCAAAUACACACUGCCCUGCAAUUUCUUCCCGGUUUGACAGCUUUUGCCGUGAAGGAGACCAUCAUCAUAACCAUGCAUCAUGCUCACUCAAACAUCAGGCCGAUCAGCCUCCCCUGCCUACAGAAUUUGUACAGCUAAGAACAUCUGUUGUUGCCAGUGCUCUCUCUAACACGUCAUUCACACGUCAAGGUAGCGGUAUCUUUCAAGCGGUCACGCAAUAUGUCACCCAGCUUGCUGCAAGCAUCCAUACAGAGCUCUACUGCCUGUUGACAAAGGUAACAAGAGGACUGGGCAAGGAAGUAAAAUCUGGUCAUCAUCAAGCUUAACUGAUAACUGAUGGUUUAGGUGCAAGUAUCAUAGAGCAGAAACAGCAUGGGGGGCAUACCACGGAUACAGAUGUAACAAGGUCAUACAUCAUGAUUCCAGCAUCUGCCAAUGCAAGACUAGCGCAUGAUAUAAUGAUGGGAAGAUCACCUGAAACGAAAC